CCUACGGGGGGCUGCAGUGGGGAAUAUUGGACAAUGGGCGAAAGCCUGAUCCAGCCAUGCCGCGUGUGUGAAGAAGGCCUUCGGGUUGUAAAGCACUUUCAGUGGGGAAGAAAGCCUUGGGGCUAAUACCCUCGAGGAAGGACAUCACCCACAGAAGAAGCACCGGCUAACUCCGUGCCAGCAGCCGCGGUAAUACGGAGGGUGCGAGCGUUAAUCGGAAUUACUGGGCGUAAAGCGCGCGUAGGCGGUCUGAUAAGCCGGUUGUGAAAGCCCCGGGCUCAACCUGGGAACGGCAUCCGGAACUGUCAGGCUAGAGUGCAGGAGAGGAAGGUAGAAUUCCUGGUGUAGCGGUGAAAUGCGUAGAGAUCGGGAGGAAUACCAGUGGCGAAGGCGGCCUUCUGGACUGACACUGACGCUGAGGUGCGAAAGCGUGGGUAGCAAACAGGAUUAGAUACCCCAGUAGUC
rnacentral:rRNA from 1 species